rnacentral:rRNA from 1 species
AUUGAACGCUGGCGGCAUGCUUUACACAUGCAAGUCGAACGGUAACAGGCCGCAAGGUGCUGACGAGUGGCGAACGGGUGAGUAAUGCAUCGGAACGUGCCCAGUCGUGGGGGAUAACGCAGCGAAAGCUGUGCUAAUACCGCAUACGAUCUAUGGAUGAAAGCGGGGGACCGUAAGGCCUCGCGCGAUUGGAGCGGCCGAUGUCAGAUUAGGUAGUUGGUGGGGUAAAGGCUCACCAAGCCAACGAUCUGUAGCUGGUCUGAGAGGACGACCAGCCAGACUGGGACUGAGACACGGCCCAGGCUCCUACGGGAGGCAGCAGUGGGGAAUUUUGGACAAUGGGCGCAAGCCGGAUCCAGCAAUGCCGCGUGCAGGAAGAAGGCCUUCGGGUUGUAAACUGCUUUUGUACGGAACGAAACGGCGAGCUCUAAUACAGUUUGCUAAUGACGGUACCGUAAGAAUAAGCACCGGCUAACUACGUGCCAGCAGCCGCAGUAA